rnacentral:rRNA from 1 species
CCUACGGGUGGCAGCAGUGGGGAAUAUUGCACAAUGGGGGAAACCCUGAUGCAGCGACGCCGCGUGAGUGAAGAAGUAAUUCGUUAUGUAAAGCUCUAUCAGCAGGGAAGAAAAUGACGGUACCUGAGUAAGAAGCCCCGGCUAACUACGUGCCAGCAGCCGCGGUAAUACGUAGGGGGCAAGCGUUAUCCGGAUUUACUGGGUGUAAAGGGAGCGUAGACGGCAGUGCAAGUCUGGAGUGAAAGGCGGGGGCUCAACCCCCGGACUGCUCUGGAAACUGUACGGCUGGAGUGCAGGAGAGGUAAGUGGAAUUCCUAGUGUAGCGGUGAAAUGCGUAGAUAUUAGGAGGAACACCAGUGGCGAAGGCGACGAUCUGGCCUGCAACUGACGCUCAGUCCCGAAAGCGUGGGGAGCAAAUAGGAGUAGAUACCCGAGUAGUC